rnacentral:sRNA from 1 species
AAAAAAAACCCUAAAAAAAGGAAUAUAAAAAGAAACCCAAAAAAAAAAAUUAAAUAUAUAAAAUACACUACUCAUAGUAUGAUAGUGGACAAAAAAGAAUAAUAACUAUGGCCGAAACCAUUUUUUACUAAAAAAAAAAAAAAUUUAAAAUGGAAAACUAAAAAAAAAAGCAAAAAUAAAAUUUGGAAAAAAUUCUAGGAAAUGUAAUAAAACGCAUCAUUAUUACGUCUGUCUAUCGAUAUAUCACGUUUUCACCAACUGAAAGGCAAAGCUUCUUCGCAAUAAUGGCGUCUAUGCAGAUCAUCAUG